rnacentral:rRNA from 1 species
CACGUAGGGUGCGAGCGUUGUCCGGAAUUAUUGGGCGUAAAGAGCUCGUAGGCGGUGUGUCGCGUCGGCCGUGAAAACCUGCAGCUUAACUGUGGGCUUGCGGUCGAUACGGGCAUCACUGGAGUUCGGCAGGGGAGACUGGAAUUCCUGGUGUAGCGGUGAAAUGCGCAGAUAUCAGGAGGAACACCGGUGGCGAAGGCGGGUCUCUGGGAAGGUACCGACGCUGAGGAGCGAAAGCGUGGGGAGCAAACAGG